rnacentral:lncRNA from 1 species
GUGUGAUGCGGAACCUGAAGCUCUUGCCAAGUAUGUAUACGCUCUAGCUAAAAAGGAUAAGCCGCUAGCAGAAUUAAAGAAACAAUGAUUCAGCAAUUAGAAGUGUUUUUAAAUGAGACCACAGCAAAUUUUGUCACGGUUCUUAUCAAUACAAUCAGCGACAAAACGUACCUUACCUCUUCAACUCCUGCUGAAGAAAAGCCAGCACCAAAUGCUGAGACAGCUGAGGUCGUGAAAACAGAGCAGACAGAAGCUAAAGCUGAUUUGAAAACUGAUGUGAAAACUGAGAGCAGACUCCAAUCAGCUGUUGUUGAGAAAUCCAGUUCGGAUACCAGUAGCAAGUUGAAACGUAAACAUUCAUUCAGUCCAGAGCACAAGACCAAGUAUUUGAGAACAAAACGGCGCUCUUCCUCAAGUUCUGGCUCCAAAUCUAGAUCAAGGUCAAGGAGUAAAUCAAAAUCAAGGUCAAGAUCACGAUCUCGCUCACGCUCCUGGUCCUAUGAACACCGCCAUAGUUACCGAAGGAAUAGAAGUUACCGCAACUGGUCUCCUGAGCAUCCUAAAAGAACCAGAACCAUCAGGAAAUCCCCGCCUAAUCACUCCAAAUCGCCUAUAGAUUACAAGAAAGGGAGCUGGCACACUUUAGCUGAUUGGGAAAAACCAGUCUCACCUGGAGGAACCAUAAUCCAGCGAAAUUUGAACCAUCCACCACCAAGGUUCAAUGGCCCACCUCCUAAUAUCUACGCCAAAAGUGUGCAGAUUUUGAAGAAAAAGGUUUUUGUAUGA